CCGUAGCCCAAGAGAUCGGGAUAACACCUGGAAACAGAUGCUAAUACCGGAUACACAGAUGAUGCCUAUCAACUGUUUAAAAGAUGGUUCUGCUAUCACUCUUGGAUGGACCUGCGGUGCAUUAGCUAGUUGGUAGGGUAACGGCCUACCAAGGCGAUGAUGCAUAGCCGAGUUGAGAGACUGAUCGGCCACAUUGGGACUGAGACACGGCCCAAACUCCUACGGGAGGCAGCAGCU
rnacentral:rRNA from 1 species